GCAUUUGUUCUAAGUUGAAUUUUUAACUUUAGAAGAGGAGGAAGUUUCAUUCUAGUUUCAUUGUUUAAUUAUAAUUUUUAUCCUUUUUCCCUCUCUGAUGGAUGGUCAAAGAGAAACCUUGAAAAAGACAAAGGUAGGCUUAUACUUAUACACUUAGUAGUUGUUACCCAAAUCAUCUCUGCUGCCCGAAAUUGCAAUAAUUCAAGCCAUCUUUGACAUGUUUAUUUAUUUAUUUGUUUUUAUUUUUUU
rnacentral:lncRNA from 1 species